rnacentral:rRNA from 1 species
UACGAAGGGGGCUAGCGUUGCUCGGAAUCACUGGGCGUAAAGCGCACGUAGGCGGAUCGCUAAGUCAGGGGUGAAAUCCUGGAGCUCAACUCCAGAACUGCCUUUGAUACUGGCAAUCUCGAGUCCGGGAGAGGUGAGUGGAACUGCGAGUGUAGAGGUGAAAUUCGUAGAUAUUCGCAAGAACACCAGUGGCGAAGGCGGCUCACUGGCCCGGUACUGACGCUGAGGUGCGAAAGCGUGGGGAUCAAACAGG